CCUACGGGAGGCAGCAGUGAGGAAUAUUGGUCAAUGGCCGGAAGGCUGAACCAGCCAUGCCGCGUGAAGGUCAGUGCCCUAUGGGCGUUAAACUUCUUUUGUGCGGGAGCAAUAAUGGUCACGUGUGGCCAGACGAGAGUACCGUACGAAUAAGCAUCGGCUAACUCCGUGCCAGCAGCCGCGGUAAUACGGGGGAUGCAAGCGUUAUCCGGAUUUAUUGGGUUUAAAGGGUGCGUAGGCUGUGAGGUAAGUCAGCGGUGAAAUGCCCCCGCUCAACGGGGUGAAGUGCCAUUGAUACUGCCUUGCUUGAAUGCGGAUGCCGUGGGAGGAAUGUGUGGUGUAGCGGUGAAAUGCAUAGAUAACACACAGAACACCGAGUGCGAAGGCAUCUCACGAAUCCGCGAUUGACGCUGAUGCACGAAAGCGUGGGUAUCAAACAGGAUUAGAUAACCUUGUAGUC
rnacentral:rRNA from 1 species